rnacentral:rRNA from 1 species
AUACGGAGGGAGCUAGCGUUGUUCGGAAUUACUGGGCGUAAAGCGUGCGUAGGCGGCCUAUUAAGUUGGGGGUGAAAUCCCAGGGCCCAACCCUGGAACUGCCCUCAAAACUGGUAGUAUUGAGAUUGAGAGAGGUAAGUGGAAUUCCGAGUGUAGAGGUGAAAUUCGUAGAUAUUCGGAGGAACACCAGAGGCGAAGGCGGCUUACUGGAUCAAUACUGACGCUGAGGCACGAAAGUGUGGGGAGCAAACAGGAUUAGAUACCCUAGUAGUCC